UAGGGUUCCUAAGACUAGUUUUUUUCAGGUUUGUUAGCAGCCUCGCUUCAUUCGUAGUUCGCAGAAAUGCUGUUACCAUUUGUGCGUCGGCCUGGGAUUUUCGCAGCGAUCCGUACAUUUUUCACCCGGUUCCAGUCCACUGUGCACGGCCAACAUGUGUGUGGAAAAAGUCAACGGCAAACGCGACGUUUUUCAGCUCGCCGCGGAGCGUUGGCGUUUCGCUCAGUUUUAGUUUCAGUUGCGGUCUCAGUUCUCGAGAAGACGUCGGUUGGAUCGGAUCUGAACGGAUUGGAACGGCCAGGAACGGAGCGGAUAGGAAGCAGAUCGGUUCGGAUCGGUUGUUUACGUUGCCAUCGCGCAGUGGAGUUUGCAAGGCGACAUCCGACGUGGUUUAUGCUUCUGUGCGUCUGGUUCUCCAAUGUAAAAAUAAAAUUGCUCCAAUAUGUGUGCGCGAAACUGCUUUUGAAACAUUUUCGAAAGAAAAAAAUAACCCAAACGAAACGACUCAGAGGUGCUAACCAGUGCAUCAGGGUCUUUGGCUUCACGGAUUCGGUACGGUGGUAUUACCGAUCGGUUUUCGAACGACAACGAGACCAUAAGCAAUUGAGCAUGAAAGUGGUGUGCUUGAUUUUCGAAUUCCUGACAGUGGUACAACUACUGCUGGUCGAAACUCAGAGUGGUCAUGUCCAGGAGGCGAAGUGGGAGAUAAGGGACGCGAUGGGUCACCAUCGCCACCAUCAUCAUCAUCACCAUCCGCAUCAGUAUCACGGUUCGCAUUGGGUGGACGGGCGGCGGGUGCACCGCCUGCGAAUGCCGCAGCAUGAACGAUGGAGUGGGCGGCGGAGAUCGCUCAAUCACCAGCAGCCCUUCAGCCGGUGGUCACAGUGGUCUCCAUGCGACGAGGAGUGCGUCAAGCGGCGGGAGCGGUUCUGCAAGGUGAAGCGCAAGUGCGGCCACACCAAGCACGUGGAGCAGAGCAAGUGCCGGCAUUGUCAUCCUGCGCCACCUAUAAAAUGGCAACAGCCGGUUAUUUUGGACGAUAGCCACAUCCGCGAGAGAAACCAGCCACAGCCGCAACCACCACCACCAGCACCACAGCCUCAAUUGCCACCGCCACCACCCCCAUCGAUAAUCAUAAAUGCCGCGGCUGCGGCGUCAAGUGGUCCCACCGUGGAUUAUAGAUAUACUCAAUACAAACCGCCACCGAUUUCGGUACCAACAUAUCCACCAACACAUCCGCCAAUUUAUGCACCUACUUAUCCUCCCACUCAUCCACCCACAAAUCCACCAACUCAGCCACCAACUCAUCCACCAACUCCUCCACCAACUCCUCCUCCCACGCCAUAUCCGAAAUUCGUGGAGGAUAUUCGUCAUACGCCUCGUUAUCCCGGCAAGGAUAUGUACGUCGAGGAGGACGUGGAGGACGAAGCUGAAGAAGAUUCCAUUAGCUCUGACGAGCAGGGUGACUUCUUUGUGCUCAAACAUCAUCGCCACAGAAGACGGCAGAACCAUAGAAAGCCAUCCCACAGAAAACCCCCAAGGGAGGACUAUGAUGACGAUGACUUUGUGGACUUCAGCGAAAGAAAGCCACUGAGACCCAGAAAUUUGGGCGAGGACACCAGUGUGGAGGGUGAUGUUUUCCAGUACGAGGAUUUCGAUCUAGAGCCUGACACCAUCUACGCGGAUUCGGAGGAAUCAGACACCGAAUUCCGCAAUAUCAGCUGGGUGCAGCCACCAAAGGAUGGACUAGUUCUCAGACGGAGGAGGGUGUAUUCCAAAUGGAGUCGAUGGACCAAAUGUUCGCCGAAGUGCACAACCAGGAGAUAUAAAAAAUGCCGGAUCAGUGAUCAAUGUGGAAGGGAGGUUCUGCGGGAGAUCGCCUACUGCUACACGGAGGGCAGUUUCUGCCAGCAGUGGCUGCAGACACAGUUCCAGAAGACACCAGCCUUUGAGACCAGACCCGGAUCCGGCUCCCCGGCCAAUGCCAUGCGUAGGAUGCAGUCCGAGCAGCCGGAAGUGUCCAUGAAUGACCUGAACUACAUUAUGACGGGAAAGGGCUAUCGUGGAAAGGAGUACACCCCACUGAAACUGAACUGCGGCAUAGUUCGCAGUGGAACUGGCCGAAGGAGCAUGUCCAACAUGCUGAAGAUCAUCGGAGGACGGGCGGCGAGGAAGGGGGAGUGGCCAUGGCAAGUGGCCAUCCUGAAUCGCUUCAAGGAAGCCUUCUGCGGGGGCACUCUCAUUGCUCCAAGAUGGGUUCUCACCGCCGCCCAUUGUGUGCGAAAAGUGCUCUAUGUUCGCAUAGGCGAACACAACCUUAACUAUGAGGAUGGCACGGAGGUGCAGCUCAGGGUGAUGAAGAGCUUUACACAUCCCAACUUCGAUAAGCGGACGGUGGAUAGCGAUGUGGCACUGCUCAGAUUACCCAAGGCUGUAAAUGCCACCACUUGGAUUGGAUACUCCUGCCUGCCGCACCCUUUCCAGGCGCUGCCCAAGAACAUGGAUUGCACGAUAAUUGGAUGGGGAAAGCGGCGCAACCGGGAUGCCACUGGAACCAGUGUGCUCCACAAGGCCACCGUGCCCAUCAUACCGAUGCACAAUUGCCGCAAGGUUUACUACGACUACACCAUCACAAAGAACAUGUUUUGCGCUGGGCAUCAGAAGGGUCACAUCGACACCUGUGCCGGAGAUUCGGGAGGUCCUCUUCUGUGUCGUGACACUACGAAACCCAACCAUCCGUGGACCAUCUUUGGCAUCACCUCGUUCGGCGAUGGAUGUGCACAGCGGAAUAAAUUUGGCAUCUACGCCAAGGUGCCCAAUUACGUGGACUGGGUGUGGUCGGUGGUCAACUGCAAUGGCAACUGCCAGAUGUAGUUGCAUGUCGGUGGGUACUUAGUAGUCGCGGAUUUGAGUCCGUCAAGUUGCAGAGGCUGUGAAAAUCUAAUUUACACUUUAAGUGUCCGAUCCGUAAGAGAAAUCUUCGCUUGAUCACCAUGUCACAAUUCAAAAUGUGCUCAUUUUACGAUCCUAAAGCUAAAUAACUAGAAGUUAAAGUGGAACAAAGUUGUAAACGUAGACAACCAAAUAUUUAUGUAAUUAAAUCAUUUAAAAGCACCUACUAAUUAAAAUUCUAACUCUCGCUGGGGUGACAUUUUUGUUUAAGCCUUUUAUAAUGUACAUAACUUAUUUUUAUAUGUCAUAUGUUAAAAAUUUAUAUUAAUCAUCAAUUCUUUUGUAAGUUAAAUAUAAUUUAAAUUUUAUUAAGGGCAGACAGGAAUCUAAAAUGGCCAGUGAAAUAAUAAAUAAAGCUGAAUGAUUAAGGCCAUAAGAACUGUAAAUAAUGAAAGUUUCAACUCAACAGGUUGAUUCGCAAAAUUCAUCGAAGCAUAAAAUGAAUAAAAAAGUAUCGAACUAGGCCCAAAAUCAAUGUAAAAAUGGAAUAACAUUAUUUAGCAAAGGACUCUUUCCUGAUAGGCGUACCAAAGA